CUAUAAACUGUAUACACACGUAUAUGUAUCAUAUUUAAACUUUACAAAGUUAAGGUUUUUAUACAUUCCCUUUAGAAGUUUAUGGAAUAAUUAUUUUUAUCCAUACGAGAUGUCCGGAGCAUGCAGUGAGCUGAACGCUUGUUUGUUAACCCUGAACUCCUAAUUGGGUAAUUUAAAGAAAGAUGAACCAACUAUUAUAUAUAUUUAUAUAUAUAUAUUUUCUUUCAUAAUCUUUAUGUUAAUGAAUACCCUUAAUUUCCUGAAUAUCUAUCUCGCUUAACCCAAGUAUAUUUUAAAUGAAAAAAAAGGUAUUGUCGACAGUAUGACGCCAUUAUGAAGUGUGGGAAAUCCGAGGUGAAAACGAGGUUGCCUGUGGAAGGCUUAGCUGACACUCCUGAAGAUGAACGCAAGGCAAACUAAAAUUGCGAAUCGUAUUCGUAUCAUUGGUAGGAAAAUGGUCUCUCGCCUAGUGAAAUUUCCAGGGAGCUGGGUAUCUCCCGGUCUGUAAUUUACAGGUGGAUAAAGAGGUGGGAGGAGGAGGGCCCUGAACGAUCGCCCUCGUUCCCGUGCUCCACGAAAGGCAACCGAACAUCAAGAUGCUCGGAUCAGGGAGAUGGCGAACCCCUUCACCAAUGCAGUUAAAGUACAAGAACUGUAGCUCCCAAUAACAAGUCGAACGGUUGCAGAUGGUAUUAAUCACCGAACACAAGGCAUCAAAGGGAGCUUGACCGAACGUCAUUGUCUACAUACUGCUGGGCGAAUUGGAGGCGACCUUGGCGAUGAGCCUGAUUACUGGGGAUGGAUAUGAUAGACGAAACAUCUACGAAACUACGAGGCGUGGCCACGUGAUAUGUGAGGGGUGGAUAUUCCUGCAUGGCGUUGACGAACUCGCAGAAAUAGAGGGUAGAUUCAAUUUGGAGAAAUAUAUUGUAUUAGAAGUGUUUCUCCCGUCAGUACGUAGCUAUGACUUGCCUUUUCCAGAAACGAUCGUAUUCUUGCAGGGUAACUGCCCAAUACACACGUCGAGGGCGGAUACGAGAUGGUUUCGUGACCAAAACCACCUCGACGUCUUACCAUGGCCAAGCAAGGAAUGUGAUUUAACCCAAUCGUAAACGUCUGGGCAAAUAUAGUCAAUGUCUGGGAAACGGCAAAUGAAAGAACCUCGCCAAAGUUAAUAGAACAUACAAAGAGGGAAUGAGGAGUACUACGUAGGAAACCGGAACUUGUAUAUAAGCAUGUAGCCUCCGUCCCGGAGAGACUACGAGUUGGCCAAGGUUUUAAUAAAAAUGAAUUGUU